rnacentral:rRNA from 1 species
GGGGGGGGGGGGGGGGGGGGGGAGGGCGUGCAGGGCGAGGGAACAGACGAGGGGCUUGCUCCGCUGACGUUAGCGGCGGACGGGUGAGGAACACGUGGAUAACCUACCUAUAAGACUGGGAUAACUUCGGGAAACCGGAGCUAAUACCGGAUAAUAUAUUGAACCGCAUGGUUCAAUAGUGAAAGACGGUUUUGCUGUCACUUAUAGAUGGAUCCGCGCCGCAUUAGCUAGUUGGUAAGGUAACGGCUUACCAAGGCAACGAUGCGUAGCCGACCUGAGAGGGUGAUCGGCCACACUGGAACUGAGACACGGUCCAGACUCCUACGGGAGGCAGCAGUAGGGAAUCUUCCGCAAUGGGCGAAAGCCUGACGGAGCAACGCCGCGUGAGUGAUGAAGGUCUUCGGAUCGUAAAACUCUGUUAUUAGGGAAGAACAAAUGUGUAAGUAACUAUGCACGUCUUGACGGUACCUAAUCAGAAAGCCACGGCUAACUACGUG